UGGCGGUGUUUUUAUAUAAUUAGGGGAACCUGUUUCUUAAUUCGAUACUCCACGAAAUUUCAACCUCCCUUCGAACAUCAGCAUGUGUACUGCUGUCGCCAGUAAACCUAUAAAAGAUAGUUUACAAAAAAUACAACCUAUUUCACGUCAAGUCAAAGUGCAGCUUAUAUGGAGGAGCCAAUGGGUUACAAUCUCAACAGAGAAUACGAAUAAACACAAUAAAAAUGUUUUGAAGGUGGACUUAAAAGUAAUAUUUACACAACCCAAAUAUAAAAAUUUCUAAAACAUGUACACAUCGCCCGUCACUCUCAUCUAAAGACG
rnacentral:rRNA from 1 species